rfam:Postia placenta Mad-698-R POSPLscaffold_286_Cont7994, whole genome shotgun sequence.
GCCGCCUUAGCGUAGUGGUAGCGCGUCGCACUUGUAGGCCUACCUACCACAGGUUACGUCAUGCGAAGGUCACUCGUUCGAUCCGGGUAGGUGGCA